rnacentral:misc_RNA from 1 species
UCCUCGUUGACCGAGGCAGUCUCGUAUGACACAUGUAACAUACGACGAGGGUUGCGCUCGUUGCGGGACUUAACCCAACAUCUCGCGACACGAGCUGACGACGACCAUGCAGCACCUGUCACCAGUCCAGCAGACUGACUCUAAUGUUUCCAAAAGAUGCGACUGGGAUGUCAAACCUUGGUAAGGUCCUCCGCUUAGCGUCGAAUUAAACCACACGCUACACCGCUUGUGCGGGUCCCCGUCAAUUCCUUUGAGUUUUAAGCUUGCGCUCGUACUCCCCAGGCGGGGUGCUUAACGCGUUAGCUUCGACACCCAGGGGGUCUAAUCCCCGAAUGCCUAGCACCCAUCGUUUACGGCGUGGACUAC